GUGUGAGGGUGUGUGAGUGUGUGUGUGUGUGUGUGAGUGUGUGUGUGUGUGUGUUGGUGUGUGUGUGAGUGUGUGAGUGUGAGUGUGUGUGGGGGGGGCAAAUAACCCUGUUUACAUAUUUAAUACUAAACAGAGUCAAAAGACAUCAACGCAACAUGAACAGAAAAAUGAUUGAAGCUGUGAAAACCACUGAACGACUGACUGACCUCUGACCUGAUGUUACCUGACCUCUGACCUCUAUAAAUAUAUAUAAAGUAUAUAUAUAUAUAUAUAUAUAUAUAUAUAUAUAUAUAUAUAUAUAUAUAUAUUUUCAUAUACAUAUCGUGAUUAAAUCACGUGUAUAUAAGAGAACUGAGUUCAUGAUUCAAGUCAGUUCUGACAACUGUGUGAAAUCACCUGGAGAAAACCAACAACCAAUAAGAGCAGAUUGUGGGCGGAGCUUAGUGUUGGAAUGAAACAGAGAGAAAUCUAGUUUCUGUCCGACCGGUUACUGACCCGUCACCACGUCCCCAGAAACACCUGAUGAAUAUUCACGUGGUUCAUUAUAAUAAUAUUAAUAAUAAUAUGAUCAAACAUGUCAUAAAGAUCAAACUUUGUCGUGUCGAAAGCAACAGAAGCUGCAGAUCAACAAUCCGACAAAGACUUAGAGAGAAUCUAGUGAUGAAGAUCAUCACACAAAUCAGAACAGACAGAAUGAUGAUGAUGAACACGAACAGGUCAAAGAGUGAAAGGACGAGAAAAUCAAUAAAACAUGGAUCAAAGUAAAGAAUCUACAGCUUCACUGAUUGUUAGAUAUUAUCAAAGCAACACAAACGAAGGGCAAGCUCCAUAGAGAAUAACUGGAAAGAGCGUGAGAGAGAGAGAUGGCAACCGACAGGAACAAGGGGGGAGUGGUCGAGCUCCAUAGAGAAUGAACAGGGAGAGAGAGAGACAGAGAGAUCACCAUCAGGUAGAACAGGUUUGGGCGAGGCAGACGAGCGAGCCUCACACACAGUGAAAAGGAGAGAGAGAGACAGAUUUCUGCUGUUUAUGUUGCUGUCUUCAUUUCACUUCAGGAGAAGAAGAAUGAGGAUAAAACAUAGAGAAGAACAAGAACAAGACGGAGAAUAACAAGAAGGAGAAAAAACACCUGCAGCCUCUGAACAGAGCUCUUUCACCCUGACUCAGUGAUUGGUCAGUUUUACCCCCGCCCCUUGCGACACGCCACCAUGUCAUCAAACAUCAACGUUUCCCUGGAAAAUCCAUACAGUCAGGUGACCAUUCCAAGGGCUAAGCUCCGCCCCUCCAACGAUGUCGCCACUGUCAUAGCCAAUCCAAUGGCUUUGAGCGGUAACGACGGGAACCCGUACAGCUCAAGCUCCGCCCCCCCGCCAGCAUAUAUGGUGAAGGAGGAUGGAGGUGGGGAGGAGGGGGAGGGGGGGUGGUGCCGUGCCUGCUGCUACCGCUGCAAGAGGAGGAAGUGAUGUCACAGCACCAGGAUGUGACUUCACAGCACCAGGAUGUGAUGCCACAGCACCCGGAUGUGACGUCACAUCAACAGGAUGUGAUGCCACAGCACCAGAAGGAUCUGACAGGCUCAGAUUUAUUUAUUGUGUAGUUGAUGUUUCUGUCUCUCCCCCGAGGAAACAUCAGAGAAAGGCAGGAUGGAAGGAAACGACAUAAGGACACAACAGAGGAGGUGAAGAAGAAAGGAAAAAGGAAGGAAGGAAAGAAGGAAGGGCCCAUUUGAGGAAGUUGUUUCCUUAAUGGCGGCCAUUUUGUAUCAGUUAAACAUCUAACAGUAAAAACUCAAAAAAAACUGUCUGUGUUAACUUCCUGAGUUCAGUUAAGAAACUAAUCCAGCUCUACUUCCUGAAACAUUCCUGCAGCUCAACAGGCCCCACCCCCUGAGGAAGGCCAAAGCUUCAAGAAUGAUCGAUAUACAAAACAACAACCUGACGUCUUCGAAGCUUUUUGACAAAUUCUGAUGUUAUUUCAACAAAAAAUGAAGUUAAUCAAACCAGUUUAAAAUGAAUGAAUCUCAGAUUAAUCUCUGAGUCCACCCUUGGGUGAAUCUUUGUAAAUAUAUAAAUAUAAAAAAAAAAAAAAAAAUAUAUAUAUAUAUAUAUAUAUAUAUAUAUAUAUAUAUAUAUAUAUAUACACACUUUGUGCUGAUCCCAAAGAAGCACCAAGGAUUUUCUUAAAGAAGAUGAUGAACAACCCGUGUGUCUCAUUAGUACAAGUUGAGAUCUUAUUAUAUAUUUCACUUCUGUGUUGCAGUAUUUAUAUUUGUUCACGAGAACGACUUGGAAUACCUUGGUAUGAAGGAGGUUUUGAAGUAUGAAUAUGAGGUGAAAUAAAAACCAUGUGAAGAAGAAUAUUUAGUAUUUUUUAAACUUGUGGAGUUAAUGUUUGAUUUAUAUGAACAGAAACAUACGUGUAUUUAUGUGUAUAACUGUAUGUAAUAUAUAAAUUUACAUGUAUAUACAG